rnacentral:lncRNA from 1 species
UUUAAAUCAAAUUUAAUUUUAGAUUUUCAUCAAUUAUAAUUUGAAAUCAAAUUUUAUUUUAUAUUUUAUUUAAUUACACGAAUCUUCUUUCAUAAGUCGAAUAUAUUAUUUUCAUAAAAUAUUUUUGUUAACAUCAAAACUCUGUAAAAUCAACUUAGUUCCAAUCAUAACGUGCCUUCCUAAUUAAACAUAAUAUUUAAAUUUAACACACAUCAUCUAGAUUAAUGUAUAUCCUAUUUUAGUGAACUCAAAUGAUGAUUAAUCGAAUUUAACCCCAAAAUAGUGAAAGGUUAGAAAAAACUAAUUUUAGGAGGAUCUUAAAUAUGCUUAAUCUUCUUUAGCAUAUUUUGCAUUUAUGAUGUGCUUGUGUUUAUUAUUAUGUUGCAUUUGUAUUCUUUGAUGUUUCAUUAUUUAGCUUUGUCAUAUUAUUAAGUAUUAACCAUAUGAGUUGUUUGUCUCGUCCAAAUAGUGACCCAUUUGGUUUAGUCGGAUAUGGAAUCACAAUAUUAUCUUCCGUCAUGCAUUAUUACAGUAGUUGAUAUUUUUAAAUUUAGUUUGUAGUAAUAUUUUUGUUAUAAAAAAGUUUUUGUUUUUGUUUUAGUUUAAGCCUUUAAAAUUUAUAAAAUUUAGUCAUAACUCAUAAAAAAAAUCAUAUAAAUAAUAUGAUGAUUUAUUAAAUUAAGAGUUUCCCUCUUUUACUUAUGUUUAAUAAAUUACACGCAUUUCAAAAUAUACAUAUAAAAAUCAAUUGC